AAAAUAACUGAAAAACCCUAAAACAGCGAAAAGAGCGGAAAUUUUCCGCUAAGCCAAGAAAAACCCCAAGUGGGCACAAAGGCGAAGGGCAGAAACAACCCAACCCCCACCGCUUCCUCCUCCUCCUCGUGCUCGCGGGAGAUGGAGCACGACGCCGACCCUGCGCCCGCGCCGGCGCCGGCGAUCACCUCCCUCCAACCCGCCGACGACGACUGGGCGGCCCGCGACGACCUCGAGGAGGCUCCAGCGAAGCCCCAUCCGCAUUCCGCGGCUCGCGAUGACGACGACGCCCGAGAGGCGCCCCGAGCCCGUGCGGCCCAAGAUGUCAAUGGAAUCAAGUCAAGUCUUCAGUCACUGGAAUUGCAGUCAGUAGAUUUGCCACAUGAUGCAGUUCAAACAGAAGCAAAGGAGGAACAGAAUAGAAAACGGCAUUUGAAUGUUGUUUUUAUUGGCCAUGUUGAUGCUGGUAAGUCCACAGCUGGAGGCCAGAUAUUGUUCUUAAGUGGGCAAGUGGAUGACAGGACAAUCCAGAAGUAUGAAAAAGAAGCAAAGGACAAAAGUCGAGAGAGCUGGUACAUGGCAUACAUUAUGGAUACAAAUGAGGAAGAACGGGCAAAGGGGAAGACAGUUGAAGUUGGGAGAGCACACUUUGAGACAGAAACUACAAGAUUUACCAUUUUAGAUGCACCGGGCCACAAAAGUUAUGUUCCAAACAUGAUAAGCGGUGCAUCUCAAGCAGACAUUGGUGUUCUUGUGAUAUCUGCUCGGAAAGGUGAAUUUGAAACUGGGUAUGAAAGAGGCGGGCAGACUCGCGAACAUGUGCUUCUGGCAAAAACUUUGGGUGUUUCUAAGUUGGUUGUGGUCAUAAAUAAGAUGGAUGAAUCUACUGUUGGCUGGUCGAAAGAACGAUAUGAUGAAAUAGAAGGAAAAAUGGUUCCUUUUCUUAAAUCAUCAGGGUACAAUGUUAAGAAAGAUGUCCACUUCUUGCCAAUCUCUGGUCUUUUGGGGACUAAUAUGAAGACAAGAAUGGAUAAAAGCAAUUGUAGCUGGUGGAGUGGUCCAUGUCUUUUCGAAGUUCUAGAUUGCAUUCAAGUCCCUUUACGAGAUCCAAAAGGUCCAGUAAGGAUGCCAAUCAUUGAUAAAUACAAAGACAUGGGCACAGUGGUCAUGGGAAAAAUUGAAUCAGGAACUAUCUCGGAGGGUGAUAACAUGUUGGUUAUGCCAAACAAGGCCAACGUGAAAGUCAUUAGUGUACACUGUGAUGAAGAUAGAGUGAGAAGUGCUGCACCUGGUGAGAAUGUCCGAGUCAAACUGUCAGGAAUUGAAGAGGAUGACAUCACUGCUGGUUUUGUGCUAUCAAGCAUUAAAAAUCCUGUUAGUGCUAUAUCUGAAUUUCGUGCUCAACUACAGAUAUUGGAGUUGCUUGACAAUGCAAUUUUUACUGCUGGUUACAAGGCAGUGCUGCAUAUCCACUCUGUAGUUGAGGAAUGUGAGAUUGUUGAACUCAUAGAAGAAAUUGAUUUGAAGAGGAGGAAAGAAGGUGACAUAAAAAAAAAGAAGUCAAAGAGGAAACCUCUUUUUGUGAAGAAUGGAGCUGUCGUCGUUUGCCGUGUUCAGGUCAAUAAUUUGAUUUGUAUCGAGAACUUCUCUGAGUUUCCUCAGCUUGGAAGAUUUACGCUCCGGACUGAAGGUAAGACAGUUGCUGUAGGAAAAGUUGUUGCUGUUCCACCUGCUGGGAGCUCAACAUUUAAUGUUUAGACCUUCCAGAGCUUGAGAUUCAAGGUUCUCUAGGUGGUCUAAUUUUAACACAACAGAUUCAAGGUGCUCUUGGUGGUCUGACAAAUAGAAGGUUCCUUGGUGAGCUUUCUUUCUGUGGGGUUAAUGAGCUUUGUUAUGGAGCCAUGUUCUUGCAAUCCCAGCUUUGAGAAGUGUUAACCAUCCAUUGGGCGUAGUGGCCAAGCUGGAUAACAUAUUUUUAUAGCCGUGCUAAAAUGUUUGUGGAUGUCAAACUCCGUCGAUCUGCCAUUGCAACUGAUGCUAACAUAAUAUUUCAAGACUAAUUCAUUACCAUUUUAUACGAAUUUUGGUUAGUUCUUUCUGAAGAUGAGUGUAUAUAACCUGCUGGACUCACUUGUUUUGAACUCUGUUUAGUCCCUCACAGAUAAGACUAAAUAUAAAUUUUGGUGGUGCUAAGUGAUUCUUUAAA